GACGAACGCUGGCGGCGUGCCUAAUACAUGCAAGUCGAGCGGACGGAUGGGAGCUUGCUCCCAGACCGUCAGCGGCGGACGGGUGAGUAACACGUGGGCAACCUGCCUGUAAGACUGGGAUAACUCCGGGAAACCGGGGCUAAUACCGGAUAACUCUUUCCCUCACAUGAGGGAAAGCUGAAAGAUGGCAUCUCGCUAUCACUUACAGAUGGGCCCGCGGCGCAUUAGCUAGUUGGUGAGGUAACGGCUCACCAAGGCGACGAUGCGUAGCCGACCUGAGAGGGUGAUCGGCCACACUGGGACUGAGACACGGCCCAGACUCCUACGGGAGGCAGCAGUAGGGAAUCUUCCGCAAUAGACGAAAGUCUGACGGAGCAACGCCGCGUGAGUGAUGAAGGUUUUCGGAUCGUAAAACUCUGUUGUCAGGGAAGAACAAGUACCGGAGUAACUGCCGGUACCUUGACGGUACCUGACCAGAAAGCCACGGCUAACUACGUG
rnacentral:rRNA from 1 species